rnacentral:rRNA from 1 species
AUUGAACGCUGGCGGCAGGCCUAACACAUGCCAGUCGAACGGUAACAGGAAGACGCUUGCUUCUUUGCUGACGAGUGGCGGACGGGUGAGUAAUGUCUGGGAAACUGCCUGAUGGAGGGGGAUAACUACUGGAAACGGUAGCUAAUACCGCAUAACGUCGCAAGACCAAAGAGGGGGACCUUCGGGCCUCUUGCCAUCGGAUGUGCCCAGAUGGGAUUAGCUAGUAGGUGGGGUAACGGCUCACCUAGGCGACGAUCCCUAGCUGGUCUGAGAGGAUGACCAGCCACACUGGAACUGAGACACGGUCCAGACGCCUGCGGGAGGCAGCAGUGGGGAAUAUUGCACAGUGGGCGCGAGCCUGAUGCAGCCAUGCCGCGUGUAUGAAGAAGGCCUUCGGGUUGUAAAGUACUUUCAGCGGGGAGGAAGGGAGUAAAGUUAAUACCUAUGCUCAUUGACGUUACCCGCAGAAGAAGCACCGGCUAACUCCGUG